GACGAACGCUGGCGGCGUGCUUAACACAUGCAAGUCGAACGGACAGGCCCUGCUUUUGUGGGGUGCUCGAGUGGCGAACGGGUGAGUAACACGUGAGUAACCUGCCCUUGACUUUGGGAUAACUUCAGGAAACUGGGGCUAAUACCGGAUAGGAUCUCCUGCUGCAUGGUGGGGGUUGGAAAGUUUCGGCGGUUGGGGAUGGACUCGCGGCUUAUCAGCUUGUUGGUGGGGUAGUGGCUUACCAAGGCUUUGACGGGUAGCCGGCCUGAGAGGGUGACCGGCCACAUUGGGACUGAGGUACGGCCCAGAAUGCUACGGGAGGCAGCAGUGGGGAAUAUUGCACAAUGGGCGGAAGCCUGAUGCAGCAACGCCGCGUGCGGGAUGACGGCCUUCGGGUUGUAAACCGCUUUCGCCUGUGACGAAGCGUGAGUGACGGUAAUGGGUAAAGAAGCACCGGCUAACUACGUG
rnacentral:rRNA from 1 species